rnacentral:piRNA from 1 species
UGCUCUCUGUAACUAGCGGGGUGA